UUUGGCCCAGCUCUUCCCGGCGAAGUGCCCCCUGCACUACUGCGGGAUGAAAGGGGGUGACAAGGUCGAGAGCAAGCAGCUCA
rnacentral:SRP_RNA from 1 species